rnacentral:rRNA from 1 species
UACGUAGGGUGCAAGCGUUGUCCGGAAUUAUUGGGCGUAAAGAGCUCGUAGGCGGUUUGUUGCGUCGGCUGUGAAAUCCCGAGGCUCAACCUCGGGUCUGCAGUCGAUACGAGCAAACUAGAGUGUUGCAGGGGAGACUGGAAUUCCUGGUGUAGCGGUGAAAUGCGCAGAUAUCAGGAGGAACACCGGUGGCGAAGGCGGCACUCUGGGACGGUACUGACGCUGAGACGCGAAAGCGUGGGGAGCGAACAGG